rnacentral:rRNA from 1 species
CAAUAUAGUGACUCAACAUCUAUGUACUUUAUCUUGGAAGCUAAGCAGGUUGAGCCUGGUUAGUACUUGGAUGGGAGACCACCUAGGAAGACCAGGUGCUGUAGGCA